GAUGAACGCUGGCGGCGUGCCUAAUCCAUGCAAGUCGAGCGACCAGACGAGGAGCUUGCUCCUCUGACGUUUGCGGCGGACGGGUGAUUAACACGUGGUUAACCUCCCUAUAUGACUGGGAUAACUUCGGGAAACCUUAUCUACUCCCGGCUAAUAUCUUGAACCGCAUUGUUCAAUAGUGAACUACGGUUUUGCUUUCCCUUAUAGCUUGUUCCCCGCCGCAUUAGCUAGUUGGUAAGGUAACGGCUUACCAAGGCAACGAUGCGUAGCCGACCUGAGAGGGGGAUCGGCAACAUUGGAACUGAGACACGGUCCAGACUACUACGGGAGGCAGCAGUAGGGAAUCUGCCGCAAUGGGCGAAAGCCUGACGGAGCAACGCCGCGUGAGUGAUGAAGGUCUUCGGAUCGUAAAACUCUGUUAUUAGGGAAGAACAAAUGUGUAAGUAACUAUGCACGGCUUGACGGUACCUAAUCAGAAAGCCACGGCUAACUACGUG
rnacentral:rRNA from 1 species